ACUUUGUGGUUCAUGACUGGGGUGAAGUCGUAACAAGGUAGCGCUAGGGGAACCUGGCGCUGGAUCACCUCCUUAUACGAUGAU
rnacentral:rRNA from 1 species